rnacentral:rRNA from 1 species
CACCAGACUCCUACGGGAGGCAGCAGUGGGGGAUAUUGCACAAUGGAGGAAACUCUGAUGCAGCGACGCCGCGUGAGGGAAGACGGUCUUCGGAUUGUAAACCUCUGUCUUUGGGGAAGAAAAUGACGGUACCCAAAGAGGAAGCUCCGGCUAACUACGUGCCAGCAGCCGCGGUAAUACGGAGGGUGCGAGCGUUAAUCGGAAUUACUGGGCGUAAAGCGCUCGUAGGCGGUAUGUCAAGUCAAGGGUGAAAUCCCCGCGCUCAACGUGGGAACUGCCUUUGAAACUGGCAAACUGGAGUGUGUGAGAGGAUAGUGGAAUUCCAGGUGUAGGAGUGAAAUCCGUAGAUAUCUGGAGGAACAUCAGUGGCGAAGGCGGCUUACUGGACGGCAACUGACGCUGAGGCUCGAAAGCGUGGGGAGCAAACAGGAUUAGAUACCCCAGUA